UCCAGGAAGCAGAGAUGGCAAUGAAAAUGAGACAAAACAAAUUAAAAGAGGAGGAGAAGAGGCUCAUGAGGAGUGGAGCCAGAGAUGAAGACUCAGAUGUGGACAUACCAGAGGAUGAAGGCUCUGACAGUGACAUAGACGACGGGCAGCAGCCCAGACCACACCACGCACGACCCGCACAGAUAUCAGGUCGAGGUGGCGCUCGAUUCAUUGGCAGUAU